GAACGCUGGCGGCAGGCUUAACACAUGCAAGUCGAGCGGAGAUGAGGUGCUUGCACCUUAUCUUAGCGGCGGACGGGUGAGUAAUGCUUAGGAAUCUGCCUAUUAGUGGGGGACAACAUUUCGAAAGGAAUGCUAAUACCGCAUACGCCCUACGGGGGAAAGCAGGGGAUCUUCGGACCUUGCGCUAAUAGAUGAGCCUAAGUCGGAUUAGCUAGUUGGUGGGGUAAAGGCCUACCAAGGCGACGAUCUGUAGCGGGUCUGAGAGGAUGAUCCGCCACACUGGGACUGAGACACGGCCCAGACUCCUACGGGAGGCAGCAGUGGGGAAUAUUGGACAAUGGGGGGAACCCUGAUCCAGCCAUGCCGCGUGUGUGAAGAAGGCCUUUUGGUUGUAAAGCACUUUAAGCGAGGAGGAGGAGCUCUAGAUUAAUACUCUAGAUGCUUGGACGUUACUCGCAGAAUAAGCACCGGCUAACUCUGUGCCAGCAGCCGCGGUAAUACAGAGGGUGCAAGCGUUAAUCGGAUUUACUGGGCGUAAAGCGUGCGUAGGUGGUCUUUUAAGUCGGAUGUGAAAUCCCUGAGCUUAACUUAGGAAUUGCAUUCGAUACUGGGAGACUAGAGUAUGGGAGAGGAUGGUAGAAUUCCAGGUGUAGCGGUGAAAUGCGUAGAGAUCUGGAGGAAUACCGAUGGCGAAGGCAGCCAUCUGGCCUAAUACUGACACUGAGUA
rnacentral:rRNA from 1 species